rnacentral:rRNA from 1 species
UACGGAGGGGGCAAGCGUUAUCCGGAAUUACUGGGCGUAAAGCGCACGCAGGCGGUCUUUUAAGUUUGACGUGAAAGCUCCCGGCUUAACUGGGAGAGGGCGUUGAAUACUGGGAGACUUGAGGCAAUGAGAGGGGUGUAGCAUUCCUGGUGUAGUGGUGGAAUGCGUAGAUAUCAGGAGGAAUACCAGUGGCGAAAGCGGCACCCUAGCGUUGUUCUGACGCUCAUGCGCGAAAGCGUGGGGAGCAAACGGG